rnacentral:lncRNA from 1 species
UUGUGGGACAAACCAUCCUAAAACUUAGUGGCUUAAAACAACAAUGAUUUUAUUAUUUCUCACAUUGCUAUAGAUCAGGGCAGGCAGGCCCAUUGAACCCACCCCAAAUUACAAAACUAGUGAAUGGAAGAGUUGAAAUCGAAACCCACACAGCCUGGUUCCAGAAGCUGAGUGUUUGACCCCUGAGGGUGACACCGAAGGAGGGAGGAAGGUAGGAAGAGUCAAGACCGCAUGCAGUGGAGGAAGGACACAUCUCCUCCAGCUGUCUCUGGCUCCAGCUCCACCAGUGGCAGAGACUGCCCCCCAGCCAAAGCCCCUGGCCACGUCCCCGACUCCUCCACAGGCCAGCAGGGAGGCACGUCGGUUUCUCCAUCACCCAUGGUCUCGGGCCAGCCUGCGGGAGGACAUCCUAUUUCCUGGCAUGUGAUUUUGCCCACAAUAAAAACAGCCAUUUUCAAUAGUGUGCAGGCAUCUUAGCUUCUCAUUGUUGUGACUCUUCUCAGUGCAGUGUGCGAUCUGGGCUCUGUCCGUCAAAGUGCGUUUCCUGAAAGAAGAGCAGAUUUUCCCACAAAGAACACAAAACUCUUAGUUGAUUUAAAAUAACAAUUUGUUCAACCGGAACACCCCUUUUCAUGAUGGGCCUAGGGAAUAGCGUAAACCAGGGUCAGCAAACUUUUUCUGCAGAGGAUCCGGUAGUGAAUAUUUCAGGCUUUGUUGUCUGUAAGUCUGUCUCCUCUGCGCAACUCCGUCAUGGUACAGCUCCGUACUGUACUGUAUAGUGUAUACUGUACAGUAUAAAAAUGAAGGGGUAUGCUUGUGUUCCAACAAAGCGUUAUGGACGCCAAAAUCGUUUCAUAUAAUUUUAAUGUAUCACGAAAAGGUCUUAUUUUUUAUUCAACCACUUAAAACUGUAAAAACGAUUCUUAACUCUCUGGCCAUACAAAAACAGGCAGCAGGUUGGACUGUGGUGAAGCCCCGGUGCGAACUCCCCGUCUUAGAGGAUAUCCGAAGGGUAGAAACAGUUAGAAAUGGAAAGCUCCUAUCCACGUUACCAACCGCCCAAACCCCAGAGCCGGCUGAGGGAUCGGCCAGUCCCCGGGAGGACCGGGCAUCCGUACAAGACAGGAAACUGAUCGUUCUUUCAAGCACAGAAGUUUUUGCCUUAAAGGUCCUGGGGGUCAAUUCAGAGGCCGCAGAGAAACGUUUGGGGCUGGCCUCGCCCGCCGCCGCGCCGGGAGGGCCUGUCG